rnacentral:rRNA from 1 species
CCUACGGGUGGCAGCAGUGGGGAAUAUUGCACAAUGGGGGAAACCCUGAUGCAGCGACGCCGCGUGAGUGAAGAAGUAUUUCGGUAUGUAAAGCUCUAUCAGCAGGGAAGAAAAAAGACGGUACCUGACUAAGAAGCCCCGGCUAACUACGUGCCCGACGCCGCGGUAAGACGUAGGGGGCAAGCGUUAUCCGGAUUUACUGGGUGUAAAGGGAGCGUAGACGGGGAAGCAAGUCUGAAGUGAAAGCCCGUGGCUUAACCACGGGACGGCUUUGAAAACUGUUUGACUAGGGGGCUGGGGAGGUAAGUGGAAGUCCUGGUGUAGCGGUGAAAGG